rnacentral:rRNA from 1 species
AUUGAACGCUGGCGGCAUGCCUAACACAUGCAAGUCGAACGGGGCAGCAAUGCCUAGUGGCGGACGGGUGAGGAAUGCGUAGGAAUCUGCCCUUAAGUGGGGGAUAACCAGGGGAAACCCUGACUACUACCGCAUGAUCCCUUCGGAGCAAAGAGGGGGACCGCAAGGCCACCCGCUUCAGGAUGAGCCUACGUCUGAUUAGCUAGUUGGUAGGGUAAAGGCCUACCAAGGCGACGAUCAGUAACUGGUCUGAGAGGAUGAUCAGUCACACCGGAACUGAGACACGGUCCGGACUCCUACGGGAGGCAGCAGUGGGGAAUAUUGGACAAUGGGCGCAAGCCUGAUCCAGCAAUGCCGCGUGUGUGAAGAAGGCCUUCGGGUUGUAAAGCACUUUAGCCUGGAAAGAAAAAACUUUGGUUAACACCCAAAGUCUUGACGGUACCAGGAGAAUAAGCACCGGCUAACUCUGUGCCAGCAGCCGCCGUAACAC